rnacentral:rRNA from 1 species
GCAGCAACGCCGCGUGGAGGAUGACGCAUUUCGGUGUGUAAACUCCUUUUAUAAGGGAAGAUAAUGACGGUACCUUAUGAAUAAGCACCGGCUAACUCCGUGCCAGCAGCCGCGGUAAUACGGAGGGUGCAAGCGUUACUCGGAAUCACUGGGCGUAAAGGAUGCGUAGGCUGGAAAUCAAGUCGAGAGUGAAAUCCAACGGCUCAACCGUUGAACUGCUCUCGAAACUGGUUACCUAGAAUAUGGGAGAGGUAGAUGGAAUUGGUGGUGUAGGGGUAAAAUCCGUAGAUAUCACCAGGAAUACCGAUUGCGAAGGCGAUCUACUGGAACAUUAUUGACGCUGAGGCAUGAAAGCGUGGGGAGCAAACAGGAUUAGAUACCCUGGUAGUCCACGCCCUAAACGAUGCACACUAGUUGUUGCGAUGCUAGUCAUUGCAGUAAUGCACUUAACAGAUUAAGUGUGCCGCCUGGGGAGUACGGUCGCAAGAUUAAAACUCAAAGGAAUAGACGGGGACCCGCACAAGCGGUGGAGCAUGUGGUUUAAUUCGAAGAUACACGAAGAACCUUACCUGGCCUUGAUAUCCUAAGAAUCCUUUAGAGAUAAGGGAGUGCUAGUUUACUAGAACUUAGAGACAGGUGCUGCACGGCUGUCGUCAGCUCGUGUCGUGAGAUGUUGGGUUAAGUCCCGCAACGAGCGCAACCCUCGUGAUUAGUUGCUAACAGUUCGGCUGAGCACUCUAAUCAGACUGCCUUCGCAAGGAGGAGGAAGGUGAGGACGACGUCAAGUCAUCAUGGCCCUUAUGGCCAGGGCUACACACGUGCUACAAUGGCUAGGACAAAGAGACGCGAUACUGCGAAGUGGAGCAAAUCUUAAAACCUAGUCUCAGUUCGGAUUGGAGUCUGCAACUCGACUCCAUGAAGCUGGAAUCGCUAGUAAUCGUAGAUCAGAUAUGCUACGGUGAAUACGUUCCCGGGU